UACGAAGGGGGCUAGCGUUGUUCGGAAUUACUGGGCGUAAAGCGCACGUAGGCGGAUUGUUAAGUCAGAGGUGAAAUCCCGGAGCUCAACUUCGGAACUGCCCUUGAUACUGGCAAUCUCGAGUCCGGAAGAGGUUAGUGGAAUUCCCAGUGUAGAGGUGAAAUUCGUAGAUAUUGGGAAGAACACCAGUGGCGAAGGCGGCUAACUGGUCCGGUAACUGACGCUGAGGUGCGAAAGCGUGGGGAGCAAAC
rnacentral:rRNA from 1 species